GAUAUUUGCUUUUCUCUUUUCUGGGUGGAAGCCUUAAGCCAAUGUGAAUUACCGUGACGGGGAAGGCCUGCCAAGAUCUCUUUCUGAAUAGUACUAAAAUGUCUCUGGAAUCCAUUCUGUAUGAGGAAAGCACAGACAGUACCUUUCCUCCAGCUCUCGCAAGCUAGGUUGGAGUAAUCCUUUGAUGAGAGAACCUUGACGGUGUUUCAGAAGAGGAAGAAAAUCCGCCUCUGCAGAGUCACUAGAGACUUUGCCUAUUACUAAUUGAUUCUACACGGAGAGCACGCAGUGGUGACAGCCAUCAGUCUGAAACGUAUGGUUUUCCGUGUAGCAGCAGUGGUCUCUCUGACUACCAUCCAUUCCAGGGUGCUGCCGAACACACACAUCUCUGGGCUCUUCAGCUGGGUGGACUACAGGACUAUGUCUGCAAGAAAUUUUGGAAUAAUGGAGAAUGAAAUAUCGUCCCAGUGCAAACUUCUCCCAUCCAGCAGGAAAUUGUACCUCAGGGGAUGGAUCACUGCGAGACGAGACAUUGCCAACAAAACGUCACGCGGUGAGAGCUGUGUGAUGAAAUGACAAGGAUCAACCAAUAUCAGUGAUGUUAUAGCUUGUAAUAAUUAUUCUCAUGAGGCUGCUUCAUCCAUGCUAAAUAAACAGAAGGUUUUCAGGCGAGAGUUGCAGUUUGUGUCAGAAUCCAUUAGCCAAGCCCUAAAGCCAGGAGAAUGUACAGUAUGGGAACUUGAUGCAUCUUUUCUAUGUAAAGGGUGGUUAUGUUUAAAUAGGCUCAGGUUAGCUGGGUUUUUUUCAUUCCUGGGUCUCCAACUUUGCAUCUGUACUGCAGGAUUGGGAAGUGGCAUGGAGAACAGAUUAUUGCAGCCAGGUUCUCUGCACA